rnacentral:tRNA from 2 species
GGGCCUAUAGCUCAGUUGGUUAGAGCAGAGGACUCAUAAUCCUUUGGUCGCUGGUUCGAGUCCAGCUGGGCCCA